CCUACGUGUGGCAGCAGUGAGGAAUAUUGGUCAAUGGGCGCGAGCCUGAACCAGCCAAGUCGCGUGAGGGAUGAAGGUCCUACGGAUUGUAAACCUCUUUUGCCGGGGAGCAAGCGUGCGUUCGUGAACGCGCGUCUAGAGUCCCCGGAGAAAAAGCAUCGGAUAACGACGUGCCAGCAGCCGCGGUAAUACGGAGGAUGCGAGGGUUAUCCGUAUUUAUUGGGUUUAACGGGUGCGUAGGCGGGAUGCCAAGUCAGCGGUAAAAAUGGGGUGCUCAACGCCGUCGAGCCGUUGAAACUGGCGUUCGUGAGUGGGCGAGAAGUAUGCGGAAUGCGUGGUGUAGCGGUGAAAUGCAUAGAUAUCACGCAGAACUCCGAUUGCGAAGGCAGCAUACCGGCGCCCUACUGACGCUGAGGCACGAAAGCGUGGGUAUCGAACAGGAUUAGAUACCCGUGUAGUC
rnacentral:rRNA from 1 species